UACGUAGGGGCCGAGCGUUGUCCGGAGUUACUGGGCGUAAAGCGCGCGCAGGCGGUGCGUUAAGCCUGCCGUGAAAGCCCCCGGCUCAACCGGGGAGGGUCGGCGGGGACUGGCGCACUUGAGGACGGCAGGGGCCGGUGGAAUCCCCGGUGUAGUGGUGAAAUGCGUAGAGAUCGGGGGGAACACCCGUGGCGAAGGCGGCCGGCUGGGCCGGACCUGACGCUGAGGCGCGAAGGCGUGGGGAGCGAACGGGAUUAGAAACCCCCGUAGUCC
rnacentral:rRNA from 1 species